rfam:Ixodes scapularis strain Wikel colony gcontig_1108379401474, whole genome shotgun sequence.
GGCCUGCUAGCUCAGUCGGUUAGAGCGUCGUGCUAAUAACGCGAAGGUCACAGGUUCGAUCGCUGUGCAGGCCA